rnacentral:lncRNA from 1 species
AACAUUUUUAACCAACCAACCAACCAACCAACAAAUCAAUCAAUCAAUCAAUCAAUCAAUGCAUGUUUCCGUUUCAUGUGUUAAAUACGGGAUUCAAGAUGUUUUUUUUUCCGCUUGUUUAAAUUGAGCCUAUCUAACGUGUUUAACCAGCCAACGUGUUUAACCAACGUGUUUAACCAACAUGUUUAACCAACCAACCAACCAACCAACCAAUCAAUCAAUCAAUCAAUGCAUGUUUCCGUUUCAUGUGUUAAAUACGGGAUCCAAGAUGUUUUUUUCGCUUGUUAAAAUUGAGCCUAUCAAACGUGUUUAACCAGCCCGUGUUUAACCAACGUGUUUAACCAACGUGUUUAACCAACGUGUUUAACCAACGUGUUUAACCAACCAACCAACCAACCAACCAACCAACCAAUCAAUCAAUCAAUGCAUGUUUCCGUUUCAUGUGUUAAAUACGGGAUCCAAGAUGGUUUUUUUUUUUCGCUUGUUUAAAUUGAGCCUAUCAAACGUGUUUAACCAGCCAACGUGUUUAACCAGCCAACGUGUUUAACCAACGUGUUUAACCAACCAACCAACCAAUCAAUCAAUCAAUCAAUGCAUGUUUCCGUUUCAUGUGUUAAAUACGGGAUCCAAGAUGUUUUUUUUUCGCUUGUUUAAAUUGAGCCCAUCAAACGUGUUUAACCAGCCAACGUGUUUAACCAACGUGUUAAACCAACAUGUUUAACCAACGUGUUUAACCAACCAACCAACCAACCAACCAAUCAAUCACUUAAUGUAUGUUUCCGUGUCAUGCGUUUAAUACGGGAUGCAAGGUCUCUUGAGGUCUUUUUCCCCUUGUUCUAAGUGACCCUAUCAAACGUGUUUAAUCAAACAACCAACAAACCAACCAACCAACCAACCAACCAAUCAAUCAACCAACUUAUCAAUCAAUCAAUAUGUAUGACUGUUUAUUUAUGACAGUUUAUUGAAGGAACAAACUCUCAAUUAUUCAAGAAAAUUUUUAUUUUAUUAUUGUUCUUACGUCUCUUCUGAAAAAAAAAUCCACAUAUUCUCUGAAACUACAAGUCCAAUCGACCUGAAAAUUUGCAGUCAGCAGGGCAUACAUGUACUGAAGGUUCAUAAAAAAAACUUUUUGCAGAUAUCUCUCAAGACUUUUCCUAGAAAAAAGAAAUGGCAAUGCAGUAAAAAUCGCUUGCUAGGUCCGUCAAUCUCAGUAAAAACCUACAAUAAAAUGUCCGCUCCGAGAUUGAAAUACUAAUCUGUGUUACAAACAGGUGCUGAAAAAUGGACAUUAUCAAAAAAUAAUCAUUAAAUGUGUUUUAAAGUUACACCGGAUCAAUUAAAUCCAAAACAUGCACUGCUUGUGAACUGUCAUCAAAAUGUCAAUUUCCUACAAUGACAAAAGAAAUUACAUUGUGUACAUUCCAUCUCUAUACAUGUUGUCUGUUCAACGUCCCGACCUAAAAAGAAAUAAAAAGACUAAGUUUUUCUUAAUAUAAACCCGCGUCACGUGAUGUCUCCUCAAUCUUGCGCGCGCGCUGUAUCUAAAAUAAAAGAAAAACUUUCCAAACUAAACAUGAAACUUCUCCGGUAACAUAAUAAUAUAGACCCCAUACCAAAGCAAACAAACAAACAAAUAAACAAAUACCCCCCCCCCUUUUUUCCAAAUCAAUCAAUAAAAAAAAAAUCAAUUAUCCAUUCAUCAGAGGGGAAAGACUGCCUAACAAUUGUUUUCAAAACAAUUGCUUUGUCUUUUCACUUUUUUUGAAAAAACUUAUUUAUUUUUAUUAUUAAGUCUUUCCACUUUUCUGUGGAAAGACUUAUUGUUUUUGUUCUGAUUAUUAUUAUUAUUAUUUUUUUUUUUUUUUCCGCCAAAUUUUGUUCUUGCGAUAAAUGUUUGUUUCGCAAUAUGUCGCUUAGAUAUUUCUCAUAUUGUAUCGUAUAGUUUAUGCGCUUUUAAAUUUCACCCUGCUAAGACGAACAAUUUUCUCUGUAAGAGUUAUCUCCCUAUUCACUGUUUAUCAUGUGUGUGCAUCUCCUUCGUAACAAAAAAAGAUAGCGACAAAAUUCUUUUUACAAAUUGUUCGUUACAUCCUCAGAAAAUUUUGGCUAAUUUGGAUCGAAGCGAUUCGAUGAAAUUUUAUAGGAGUUAUCUAUCUUUACGGAAUAAAUUUGUCGGUAUGUUUUUUUAACUCAUAAACCGUUAACCGUAUAACCCUGGAAUGUUUUUAUUUGAGUCCCCUGGGUCCUAACUUAGAAAAUUAGGUCAAGGUCAAAGGUCAAGGUCAUAUUUUAGAUUUUUAUAAGUUUUUCAUUUCCCUAUAAUUCUUGAACGGUUAUAGAUACAAAAAUAUAGGUCAAGGUCAAAGGUCAAGGUCAUAUUUUAGAUUUUCAUAUGUCUUUGAUUUCCCUAUAAUUCUUGAAUGGUUAUAGAUACAGAAAAUUUAAGCAGUGAAAAAUGUUAAGUACUUCAAGGGGCAACUUUUUUACAUUAUGACUAUAUUGAUUUUACCAUCAUGUAAGGGACAUAACUCCCAUCGAUGGUUUUUAAAAAGCCAUUUUUAGGCAAAACUCUUAAACAAAAGGUCCUUGACCCAUAGGGUCUUUUGCAAUGACCUUGUGGAGCAAUGACCUUGACGAAGGUCACAAGGUCAAAGGUCAAGGUCAUCAAAUUAUGUGGUUUUGGCACUAUUUAAACAGUUUUAUGUGUGUUUGAAUUUCAACCAACCAACCAACCAACCAACCAACCAACCAACCAACCAACCAAUCAAUCAAUCAAUCAAUCAAUCAAUCAAUCAAUCAAUCAAUCAAUGUUUCCGUUUCAUGUGUUUGAUACGGGAUUCAAGGUCUCUUUUUUUUCGCUUGUUUUAAUUGAGCCUAUCAAACGUGUUUAACCAACAUGUUUAACCAACAUGUUUAACCAACAUGUUUAACCAACGUGUUUAACCAACCAACCAACCAACCAACCAACCAAUCAAUCAAUCAAUCAAUCAAUGCAUGUUUCCGUUUCAUGUGUUAAAUACGGGAUCCAAGAUUUUUUUUUCGCUCGUUUAAAUUGAGCCUAUCUAACGUGUUUAACCAGCCAACGUGUUUAACCAACGUGUUUAACCAACACAACCAAACCAACCAACCAACCAAUCAAUCAAUCAAUGCAUGUUUCCGUUUCAUGUGUUAAAUACGGGAUCCAAGAUGUUUUUUUUUCGCUUGUUUAAAUUGAGCCUAUCUAACGUGUUUAACCAGCCAACGUGUUUAACCAACGUGUUUAACCAACCAACCAACCAACCAACCAACCAACCAACCAACAAUCAACCAAUCAACCAAUCAAUCAAUCAAUGCAUGUUUCCGUUUCAUGUGUUAAAUACGGGAUCCAAGAUGGUUUUUUUUCGCUUGUUUAAAUUGAGCCUAUCUAACGUGUUUAACCAGCCAACGUGUUUAAAACGUGUUUAACCAACAUGUUUAACCAACGUGUUUAACCAACCAACCAACCAACCAACCAACAAUCAAUCAAUCAAUGCAUGUUUCCGUUUCAUGUGUUAAAUACGGGAUCCAAGAUGGUUUUUUUUCGCUUGUUAAAAUUGAGCCUAUCAAACGUGUUUAACCAGCCAACGUGUUUAACCAACGUGUUUAACCAACAUGUUUAACCAACGUGUUUAACCAACAUGUUUAACCAACGUGUUUAACCAACAUGUUUAACCAACGUGUUUAACCACCAACCAACCAACCAACCAACCAACCAACCAAUCAAUCAAUCAAUGCAUGUUUCCGUUUCAUGUGUUAAAUACGGGAUCCAAGAUGUUUUUUUUUCGCUUGUUUAAAUUGAGCCUAUCAAACGUGUUUAACCAGCCAACGUGUUUAACCAACGUGUUUAACCAACAUGUUUAACCAACGUGUUUAACCAACCAACCAACCAACCAACCAAUCAAUCACUUAAUGUAUGUUUCCGUGUCAUGCGUUUAAUACGGGAUGCAAGGUCUCUUGAGGUCUUUUUCCCCUUGUUCUAAGUGACCCUAUCAAACGUGUUUAAUCAACCAACCAACCAACCAACCAACCAAUCAAUCAAUCAACCAACUAAUCAAUCAAUCAAUAUGUAUGACUGUUUAUUUAUGACAGUUUAUUGAAGGAACAAACUCUCAAUUAUUCAAGAAAAUUUUUAUUUUAUUAUUGUUCUUACGUCUCUUCUGAAAAAAAAUCCACAUAUUCUCUGAAACUACAAGUCCAAUCGACCUGAAAAUUUGCAGUCAGCAGGGCAUACAUGUACUGAAGGUUCAUAAAAAAACUUUUGCAGAUAUCUCUCAAGACUUUUCCUAGAAAAAAGAAAUGGCAAUGCAGUAAAAAUCGCUUGCUAGGUCCGUCAAUCUCAGUAAAAACCUACAAUAAAAUGUCCGCUCCGAGAUUGAAAUACUAAUCUGUGUUACAAACAGGUGCUGAAAAAUGGACAUUAUCAAAAAAUAAUCAUUAAAUGUGUUUUAAAGUUACACCGGAUCAAUUAAAUCCAAAACAUGCACUGCUGGUGAACUGUGAUCAAAAUGUCAAUUUCCUACAAUGACAAAAGAAAUUACAUUGUGUACAUUCCAUCUCUAUACAUGUUGUCUGUUCAACGUCCCGACCUAAAGAGAAAUAAAAAGACUAAGUUUUUCUUAAUAUAAACCCGCGUCACGUGAUGUCUCCUCAAUCUUGCGCGCGCGCUGUAUCUAAAAUAAAAGAAAAACUUUCCAAACUAAACAUGACACUUCUCCGGUAACAUAAUAAUAUAGACCCCAUACCAAAGCAAACAAACAAACAAAAAAACAAAUACCCCCCCCCCCUUUUUUUCCAAAUCAAUCAAUAAAAAAAAUCAAUUAUCCAUUCAUCAUAGGGGAAAGACUGCCUAACAAUUGUUUUUGAAACAAUUGCUUUAUAUUUAUAUUAUUAAGUCUUUUACUUUUUUAUUAUUGUAUUUUUCUAUUAUUAAGUCUUUCCACUUUUCUGUGGAAAGACUUAUUGUUUUUGUUCUGAUUAUUAUU